rnacentral:rRNA from 1 species
ACUCCUACGGGAGGCAGCAGUGGGGAAUUUUGGACAAUGGGCGAAAGCCUGAUCCAGCAAUGCCGCGUGCAGGAUGAAGGCCUUCGGGUUGUAAACUGCUUUUGUACGGAACGAAAAAGCUCCUUCUAAUACAGGGGGCCCAUGACGGUACCGUAAGAAUAAGCACCGGCUAACUACGUGCCAGCAGCCGCGGUAAUACGUAGGGUGCGAGCGUUAAUCGGAAUUACUGGGCGUAAAGCGUGCGCAGGCGGUUAUGUAAGACAGAUGUGAAAUCCCCGGGCUCAACCUGGGAACUGCAUUUGUGACUGCAUGGCUAGAGUACGGUAGAGGGGGAUGGAAUUCCGCGUGUAGCAGUGAAAUGCGUAGAUAUGCGGAGGAACACCGAUGGCGAAGGCAAUCCCCUGGACCUGUACUGACGCUCAUGCACGAAAGCGUGGGGAGCAAACAGGAUUAGAAACCCUGGUAGUCCCAUGAU